GAUGAACGCUGGCGGCGUGCCUAAUACAUGCAAGUCGAGCGAAUGGAUUGAGAGCUUGCUCUUAUGAAGUUAGCGGCGGACGGGUGAGUAACACGUGGGUAACCUGCCCAUAAGACUGGGAUAACUCCGGGAAACCGGGGCUAAUACCGGAUAACAUUUUGAACCGCAUGGUUCGAAAUUGAAAGGCGGCUUCGGCUGUCACUUAUGGAUGGACCCGCGUCGCAUUAGCUAGUUGGUGAGGUAACGGCUCACCAAGGCAACGAUGCGUAGCCGCCCUGAGAGGGUGAUCGGCCACACGUGGACUGAGACACGGCCCAGACUCCUACGGGAGGCAGCAGUAGGGAAUCUUCCGCAAUGGACGAAAGUCUGACGGAGCAACGCCGCGUGAGUGAUGAAGGCUUUCGGGUCGUAAAACUCUGUUGUUAGGGAAGAACAAGUGCUAGUUGAAUAAGCUGGCACCUUGACGGUACCUAACCAGAAAGCCACGGCUAACUACGUGCCAGCCGCCGCAGUAA
rnacentral:rRNA from 1 species